rnacentral:rRNA from 1 species
GGGAUACGAGCUUCACUCCAAACCCAAUGUGAACCAUACCAAACUGUUGCCUCGGCGGGGUCACGCCCCGGGUGCGUCGCAGCCCCGGAACCAGGCGCCCGCCGGAGGGACCAACCAAACUCUUUCUGUAGUCCCCUCGCGGACGUUAUUUCUUACAGCUCUGAGCAAAAAUUCAAAAUGAAUCAAAACUUUCAACAACGGAUCUCUUGGUUCUGGCAUCGAUGAAGAACGCAGCGAAAUGCGAUAAGUAAUGUGAAUUGCAGAAUUCAGUGAAUCAUCGAAUCUUUGAACGCACAUUGCGCCCGCCAGUAUUCUGGCGGGCAUGCCUGUCCGAGCGUCAUUUCAACCCUCGAACCCCUCCGGGGGUCCGGCGUUGGGGAUCGGGAACCCCUAAGACGGGAUCCCGGCCCCGAAAUACAGUGGCGGUCUCGCCGCAGCCUCUCAUGCGCAGUAGUUUGCACAACUCGCACCGGGAGCGCGGCGCGUCCACGUCCGUAAAACACCCAACUUCUGAAAUGUUGACCUCGGAUCAGGUAGGAAUACCCGCUGAACUUAAGCAUAUCAUAGGCGGGGGAGGGAA